rnacentral:rRNA from 1 species
UACGAAGGGGGGCUAGCGUUGCUCGGAAUCACUGGGCGUAAAGGGCGCGUAGGCGGCCGUUUAAGUCGGGGGUGAAAGCCUGUGGCUCAACCACAGAAUUGCCUUCGAUACUGGACGGCUUGAGUAUGGUAGAGGUUGGUGGAACUGCGAGUGUAGAGGUGAAAUUCGUAGAUAUUCGCAAGAACACCGGUGGCGAAGGCGGCCAACUGGACCAUUACUGACGCUGAGGCGCGAAAGCGUGGGGAGCAAACAGG